rnacentral:rRNA from 1 species
GAAUAUUGGACAAUGGGCGCAAGCCUGAUCCAGCCAUGCCGCGUGAGUGAUGAAGGCCUUAGGGUUGUAAAGCUCUUUCACCGAUGAAGAUAAUGACGGUAGUCGGAGAAGAAGCCCCGGCUAACUCCGUGCCAGCAGCCGCGGUAAUACGGAGGGGGCUAGCGUCGUUCGGAAUUCCUGGGCGUAAAGGGCGCGCAGGCGGCUGCUCAAGUCAGGCGUGAAAGGCCUGGGCUCAACCCGGGAAUUGCGCUUGAGACUGAGCUGGCUUGAGUGCGGGAGAGGAUGGUGGAAUUCCCAGUGUAGAGGUGAAAUUCGUAGAUAUUGGGAAGAACACCGGUGGCGAAGGCGGCCAUCUGGACCGUAACUGACGCUGAGGCGCGAAAGCGUGGGGAGCAAACAGG